ACGAUUACCACCGAACAAUCCCGAAGAGUUUCUGAAUCAUUGAAUUUUCAGCCAUCUUGAAUUUUAACAAGGUGCCCGUCUGGUGAAGGAGAGAGAAAAAGAACUCGUUUAGCUCUAAUCUUUCAGAAUCUUGAUAACUACAGACAAUGGGCUCCUGGGAUGCUUAUGUCAAUGUCUUUAAGGGUGAUGGAAGUACUAUGUUGAAGUGUGGAAUAUAUGAUCAGGAAGGAAAUCCAUGGGCUUUGUCACCAGGAAUGUCUGCAAGUCCAGCCCAAGUAAAACGACUUGCCUCACACUAUGAAGAUAGCUCAGAUUUUUAUAUAAAUGGGCCAGAGUUUGAGAAUUCCAAGUUCGCCUUUCUCAAAAAAGUAGAAGAUGGUGGAAAUCCAGUCCUGGUCUUUAAACGGAAGGAUGCUGAAUCAGAGGAAGAUAAGCAUCUAUUGGUAGCAAUGAAUACAGUGAAAGCUUGCUUAGUUGGAAUAGCAAAGGGAGGAGAAAAACACAAAAGCGUAGCAAUAAACUUAAUUAGGCAUGUCAACGAAUCAAUGAGAAAAUAUGAUUAUUGAAUGUGAACCAGAUGUAGAAAGUUUAAGUGCUAAAAUAUUUGAAGAUGUUUUACAGCAAAUGACAGCAAGGUCAAUCUUUUUUUUCAUUCUAUGUAUGAUUUUAAU